rnacentral:rRNA from 1 species
AGCAGUCGCCGCGGGAAUACGUAGGUGGCAAGCGUUGUCCGGAAUUAUUGGGCGUAAAGGGCUCGCAGGCGGUUUCUUAAGUCCGAUGUGAAAGCCCCCGGCUCAACCGGGGAGGGUCAUUGGAAACUGGGAAACUUGAGUGCAGAAGAGGAGAGUGGAACUCCACGUGUAGCGGUGAAAUGCGUAGAGAUGUGGAGGAACACCAGUGGCGAAGGCGACUCUCUGGUCUGUAACUGACGCUGAGGAGCGAAAGCGUGGGGAGCGAACAGGAUUAGAUACCCCGGUAGUCCCUGUCUCUUAUAC